UUUACUCUCAAGUACUUCUGUAAAUUAUUCUUUGCCAAUCUCAGAUGGGAAUGAUAUGGAAAAUUAUCAAUCACAUUCUAAUAUUUCUGCAAAUAAUAAUUCUUUAGCAACUAUUAAUGAAAAUAUAAAUCAUUCUCAAAUAUCAUCCAUUCCUAAACCCAAAAGAACAUACAAUUGUUGGAACAAAGAUAAAAUUGAAAUGAAUUUGUUAAUAUGUCGAAGGCAUCAAUACAUAAAAUAAAACGGGAUACAUUCCCAGAAAUUAUUGGUGAGCCCUUAAAGGAAUUCUCGCUUAAACAAAGGGGGAGAAAAAUUAAAGACACAGCAAAUAUUGAAAGGCAAAUUAUGGAUUUGCUAAUCGACAAUAAUACCUUCACGGUGAAGGAUAUAAUUGAGAAUUUUCCCUCUGGUUCUCCAAAAAAUAUUGGAACUAUAAGGAAAUAUAUUAAAAACCCGAUGGUCCAAAAAAAGAGCUGGGAAAGAACCAGAUCGCAGGAAUACACCAGGAGCUAUCAAUAUUCGACAGGUGUAUUGCCGCAAAUUGCUGAACAUCUCCAGAGAAAGACUCUAUUUUCUCGACGAAACAGGCAUCAAUUUUCAUGUUGUACCUGUCUAUGCUUGGGCACCACUCAACGUUAGACCAUCAAUAAAGGUGCCACCCUCAAAAGGGAAAAAUGUAAGUGUACUUUGCACUAUAGGAAUUUGUGGAGUUAUACAUUAUAAAAUCAUCGAAGGAUCAUAUAAUGGUAUGUUAUUCAGAAAUUCAUUAAUGGAUAUUAUUAGUAUAUUACCACCAGAUGACAUAUUAAUUAUGGACAAUGCGUCAGUACAUAAAAGUCAUCUAAUUGAUGACUAUAAAGAGAGAAUUGAAUAUCUUCCCCCAUACUCACCACAAUUAAACCCAAUUGAAAAUUUUUUCGGGGUUUUCAAAAACAAGUACAGGUCAUUAAUUCCCAGACCAAGUACAAGGGAAUAUAUAAUAAAUAAUAUUAAUCAAAUAAUGAAUCAAUUUAUUCCAUAUGAUUUUACAAAUUUCUAUAAUCAUAUGCAACAUUAUUUGGAGCUGGGCUAUCGUGGACUACCUCUUGACUAAAAUUUUAGAUCAUUAGCCUAUGACUAAAGCCGCUCUGAAACUGGGCUAGCUUAUCUUAGACCUUGAUAUACCAGAAAUCCUGCGCGAAACCAAGGUGGAGGGGAGAGGUAUUUCUCCCCCAAAAAUGUAUACAAUAUAUAACUAUAAAGAAGAAUUGGAAAAAUAAAUUGCCACGCUGCCAGCAUAUUAAAAAUUGGAGGAUAGCCCAGCAACGUGGUUUAAUUUUCGACAUGGCAAAAUACUGGAGAUUACGGCGUAAGCUCGUGAAGUGCAGGAAUAUGUAUGAGACAGAUCAUGGAAUGACCAAAUCACAAUGAGGUUUGCAGAAAUGUUGGAACCAGAAGAGAUUAUAUGGAAUCAGGCGCAUCCUGAUCACAAGAAGACAUUCGUUGUGAUGGAACAUCUUUCCAUCAUAGGAAUUAAAUUAUCAGAAGAAUAUCCUGAUUAUGACUGUAGUGUUAACUACUUAAAAAAGCGUUUAAGAAAUUUCAAGUAUCAACUGAGCAAAGAAAAAUUAGACAGUCUAUCCGGAUCUAGAGGAGGGGUGCAUGAAUACAAGUAUAAGAAAUAUAUUAAUUUCAUGCAAUCCACUGUUGCUGACAGACUUACUGUCAGUAACUUCCAGGAAUCCCCUCCUCCAACAAGGAAACCUGCCAAAAAAUGAUUUGCAAAUUCUGAUGAAUGUAUUGGAAAAAAAGUCAUCUAGCAUCCAACUCUUUUUGGAUAGCCUAGUUGAUACAAUGGAUGGCUACAAUUCCGAUGAAGAUUUUUUUUUAAAACAGGUUUUAAAACUAAUGCAAAUAAUCAAGAUCAAUAGAACACAACCAACAGAAACUUUU